UCCGGCAUGGUGUAGUGGCUAACAUUACCGCCUUUCACGCGGUAGCCCGGGGUUCAAUUCCCCGUACCGGAA
rnacentral:tRNA from 1 species